rnacentral:rRNA from 1 species
UACGUAGGGUGCAAGCGUUGUCCGGAAUUAUUGGGCGUAAAGAGCUCGUAGGCGGUUUGUCGCGUCUGCUGUGAAAACUCAGGGCUUAACCCUGAGCCUGCAGUGGGUACGGGCAGACUAGAGUGUGGUAGGGGAGAUCGGAAUUCCUGGUGUAGCGGUGGAAUGCGCAGAUAUCAGGAGGAACACCGAUGGCGAAGGCAGCCCCCUGGGCUGAGAUUGACGCUCAGGCACGAAAGCGUGGGGAGCAAACAGG